rnacentral:rRNA from 1 species
UACGAAGGGGGCUAGCGUUGCUCGGAAUCACUGGGCGUAAAGCGCACGUAGGCGGAUUGUUAAGUCAGGGGUGAAAUCCUGGAGCUCAACUCCAGAACUGCCUUUGAUACUGGCAAUCUCGAGUUCGGGAGAGGUGAGUGGAACUGCGAGUGUAGAGGUGGAAUUCGUAGAUAUUCGCAAGAACACCAGUGGCGAAGGCGGCUCACUGGCCCGAUACUGACGCUGAGGUGCGAAAGCGUGGGGAGCAAACAGG